UACGGAGGGUGCAAGCGUUAAUCGGAAUUACUGGGCGUAAAGCGUGCGCAGGCGGUUUGUUAAGUCCGUUGUGAAAGCCCCGAGCUCAACUUGGGAAUUGCAGUGGAUACUGGCAGGCUGGAGUACGGUAGAGGAAGGUGGAAUUCCCGGUGUAGCGGUGAAAUGCGCAGAUAUCAGGAGGAACACCGGUGGCGAAGGCGGAUCUCUGGGCCGAUACUGACGCUGAGGAGCGAAAGCGUGGGGAGCGAACAGG
rnacentral:rRNA from 1 species